rnacentral:antisense_RNA from 1 species
UUUCGAGCUGUUUCUGAAGUAAAUUGUGUAUCUCCUCUUCCUCGCAUUCUUCAAUUGCUUGAAUUAAAAGUCUCUGCGUACUUUUAUUCUUGAAGGCAUGAUAGAUUGACCUUAUUACUGAAAUGAUGAGGUCAAUCAACUUAUCAAUGAAUGCGACGAUCUUGUUACCCUUAAAAAUGGUUGCAAAUAUACUCUUUAUGACUUGUUUAAUUUUUUCAUACGAAUUAUCAAAGAAUGUGCCUACCUUCUCCAUCCAAGACUUGAAAUUGAGUUCUGUUGCCAUUACUGAAGACUCAGAUGCAGAUAGAAGACGGUCAUGCAUAAGGUAGUACUCCGCAACAUGCAUUCUUGCUUCAACAGACGCAUUCUUUCUCAAUUUGGUUUCAUUCAAAAGAUUUUCUGUAGCGUUAAAGGUCAAGUAUUUAUCGAAUUCUUGAUCAACGAGCUCAAAAUUAUCAGGUUCUGAAAUCUUAAUUAUUUCUUGAAUUUGACUGUUUAUUAUAUCCCUUUCUAGUUGUGCAGAAUCCAUGUUCUUCUUAAUUUUAUUCAUAGUCAAUUGUAACAACCUAGGACUAUUAGCUAUUUCCUCUGGAAUAACUCUUGUAACACCAAUUAACUUUCUAUUGGACGAGAUGUUGCUGAAUAUAUUAAAUACUGACUUUAUCAGAUAAACUAUUAAUCUAAGAACAGAUAAUAUUGAUUCAGCCUGUGGCGAGUUCCCAAACACAACAGUAAAUAGUUCAAGCAACAUAUCUAGCAUUGAUACUACACCGCUGAGUUCAGUAACCUUUUUCGAGAAUUGUAUUAAUCCAUCAUACCACUUCACUUUAGUUGGCUGAGAUGUAGAUGUCGUCGUUGUUGUAAUGAUUUGAGUAGAAUUUGAUUCGACAUUAAUAAUUGUAGAAUUAGUUUCCUCAGUAAUAGUAUUAAG